UGCAGUCGAACGAUGAUGCCCAGCUUGCUGGGUGGAUUAGUGGCGAACGGGUGAGUAACACGUGAGUAACCUGCCCCUGACUCUGGGAUAAGCGUUGGAAACGACGUCUAAUACUGGAUAUGACUGCCGGCCGCAUGGUCUGGUGGUGGAAAGAUUUUUUGGUUGGGGAUGGACUCGCGGCCUAUCAGCUUGUUGGUGAGGUAAUGGCUCACCAAGGCGACGACGGGUAGCCGGCCUGAGAGGGUGACCGGCCACACUGGGACUGAGACACGGCCCAGACUCCUACGGGAGGCAGCAGUGGGGAAUAUUGCACAAUGGGCGAAAGCCUGAUGCAGCAACGCCGCGUGAGGGAUGACGGCCUUCGGGUUGUAAACCUCUUUUAGUAGGGAAGAAGCGUAAGUGACGGUACCUGCAGAAAAAGCACCGGCUAACUACGUGCCAGCAGCCGCGGUAAUACGUAGGGUGCAAGCGUUGUCCGGGAAUUAUUGGGCGUAAAGAGCUCGUAGGCGGUUUGUCGCGUCUGCUGUGAAAUCCCGAGGCUCAACCUCGGGCUUGCAGUGGGUACGGGCAGACUAGAGUGCGGUAGGGGAGAUUGGAAUUCCUGGUGUAGCGGUGGAAUGCGCAGAUAUCAGGAGGAACACCGAUGGCGAAGGCAGAUCUCUGGGCCGUAACUGACGCUGAGGAGCGAAAGCGUGGGGAGCGAACAGGAUUAGAUACCCUGGUAGUCCACGCCGUAAACGUUGGGCGCUAGAUGUAGGGACCUUUCCACGGUUUCUGUGUCGUAGCUAACGCAUUAAGCGCCCCGCCUGGGGAGUACGGCCGCAAGGCUAAAACUCAAAGGAAUUGACGGGGGCCCGCACAAGCGGCGGAGCAUGCGGAUUAAUUCGAUGCAACGCGAAGAACCUUACCAAGGCUUGACAUACACCGGAAACGGGCUCAGAUGGUUGCCCCCUUGUGGUCGGUGUACAGGUGGUGCAUGGUUGUCGUCAGCUCGUGUCGUGAGAUGUUGGGUUAAGUCCCGCAACGAGCGCAACCCUCGUUCUAUGUUGCCAGCGCGUUAUGGCGGGGACUCAUAGGAGACUGCCGGGGUCAACUCGGAGGAAGGUGGGGAUGACGUCAAAUCAUCAUGCCCCUUAUGUCUUGGGCUUCACGCAUGCUACAAUGGCCGGUACAAAGGGCUGCGAUACCGUAAGGUGGAGCGAAUCCCAAAAAGCCGGUCUCAGUUCGGAUUGAGGUCUGCAACUCGACCUCAUGAAGUCGGAGUCGCUAGUAAUCGCAGAUCAGCAACGCUGCGGUGAAUACGUUCCCGGGCCUUGUACACACCGCCCGUCAAGUCAUGAAAGUCGGUAACACCCGAAGCCGGUGGCCUAACCCUUGUGGAAGGAGCCGUCG
rnacentral:rRNA from 1 species